AUUCCAUAAUGAGGGCACUUUCGUAGCAACUCUUUGUACCUUUCUCAUGCCUCAUACAGGGAUUCAUCAUCCAUUUGUUAGAAGUUAGUGAUCUCAUUCCUCAACUU
rfam:Gossypium raimondii chromosome 13, whole genome shotgun sequence.